CCCACUGUAAGCCAGUAGCUGCA
rnacentral:piRNA from 1 species